GACGAACGCUGGCGGCGUGCUUAACACAUGCAAGUCGAGCGAUGAAGCUCCUUCGGGAGUGGAUUAGCGGCGGACGGGUGAGUAACACGUGGGUAACCUGCCUCAUAGAGGGGAAUAGCCUUCCGAAAGGAAGAUUAAUACCGCAUAAGAUUGUAGUACCGCAUGGUAUAGCAAUUAAAGGAGCAAUCCGCUAUGAGAUGGACCCGCGCCGCAUUAGCUAGUUGGUGAGGUAACGGCUCACCAAGGCGACGAUGCGUAGCCGACCUGAGAGGGUGAUCGGCCACACUGGGACUGGGACACGGCCCAGACUCCUACGGGAGGCAGCAGUGGGGAAUAUUGCACAAUGGGGGAAACCCUGAUGCAGCAACGCCGCGUGAGUGAUGACGGUCUUCGGAUUGUAAAGCUCUGUCUUCAGGGACGAUAAUGACGGUACCUGAGGAGGAAGCCACGGCUAACUACGUGCCAGCAGCCGCGGUAA
rnacentral:rRNA from 1 species